rnacentral:rRNA from 1 species
CCUACGGGAGGCAGCAGUGGGGAAUAUUGCGCAAUGGGCGAAAGCCUGACGCAGCGACGCCGCGUGAGGGAUGAAGGUCUUCGGAUCGUAAACCUCUGUCAGCAGGGAAGAACGGUCACUGUGCUAAUCAGCAGUGAAUUGACGGUACCUGCAAAGGAAGCACCGGCUAACUCCGUGCCAGCAGCCGCGGUAAUACGGAGGGUGCGAGCGUUAAUCGGAAUUACUGGGCGUAAAGCGCUCGUAGGCGGUAUGUCAAGUCAAGGGUGAAAUCCCCGCGCUCAACGUGGGAACUGCCUUUGAAACUGGCAAACUGGAGUGUGUGAGAGGAUAGUGGAAUUCCAGGUGAAGGAGUGAAAUGCGUAGAUAUCUGGAGGAACAUCAGUGGCGAAGGCGACUAUCUGGCACAUAACUGACGCUGAGGAGCGAAAGCGUGGGUAGCAAACAGGAUUAGAUACCCUUGUAGUC